AUCCAGGAAAAUAUUUUUUUUCAUUAUAUUUGUGCGUUCUACUGCGUCGCUUUUUCAAACUUUUCCUAUCAGCUUUUUCUGCUUCUCCCUUAUUUUUGUAGUGCAGCAAUCUGAUUCUUACUGAAACGUGAUGGGCAAAGGGAGACUACAAAAAUUUCGACAAUCAGUUACUUGGCUCAUUAAAUCAGUGCUUUUUCCGAUUCUGAUCAUUUAAGAGCCAUUUUAAAGCAAUCGUUCUAGGAAUUGAAAUGUUCAUGACAUCAAUUUGAAGUCAAAGUAGAAAAAUUUGAGAACACUUUGAAAUUUGAAUCGAAAUUUCUGAUUCUCGUGCCAACAAGCAUCAAUUAGAGCAGAAUUGAUUUCGACGCUUUUGAACGUAAUAAAAUGUUCGAUUUUCAAACUUUGGCCAUUUUGAUUCUAGCUGGCUUUUUGGCUAGUGUUUUCUACAUGAUUCUGGAAGUUCCUAGUUUUUUCACUCUCGUGAAAAUUAACAGCGAAAAACUAUGUUGAAAUUUAAUGGGAUGAUGGCAGCUGAUACGUUAUGCCAAUUUUUGUGACAUCUCCCAACCAAUAAAUUCGAUUAAUCAACGAUAAUUAUCUUGGUGCAAAUUGGGAAUAGAUUCGUAUUGAAAUUUUGGUAUAAAUUAUCAUUCUUGAAUGAAGUCAUAUACCGAUGAUGCUUUGCACCUAAGAACAGCAGCUGGCGAAACCAGAUCGCUUGAUUGGAUGAGACCACAAAAUAUUCAACCAGAUUUGUCGAUUCAUUAAUAUAACGAUCCAUUGAACAUCAUCGAUUAAUAAAAGGAGCAGUAGCGUCAGUAGAAAUUAUCGUUGGAGCGAUCGUCAAAAAUUUUUUUCGCCAAUAAAUGAAACUUUCGGUUUUCGAACACUUUUAUUGCUGUAUACACAGUAGGAUCGACAUAUCCAAGCAUUAGAAAUCCUUGAUGCAAAAAAAUAUUUAACUUCGUUGAUUUAGUAUUGUUCAAAAAAUGUUAUAAAAUAAAGAAGCUUCUUCUAUAAUUGGUUCGUUCUUUGAAUGGAGUAUUAUCUUUAUCGAUUGGCGCUGACACUGAAGAUAGUCACACUGUCAAGAAAAAGGAACAAACGACGUGAAGAAGUUUGUUUAUUUGGAGACAGUUGUUAUAUUCACAGACCGGCAAAAAAGGAUGUGAAGUUUAACCGUCUUCGGAGUAUUAAAUCAAUUCAUCUAAUCUCGAUAGUUUCAAUUCUAUUUGCUUCUUCACUCUAAAAAAAUUGUAUUUCAGUUGUACAAGAUCGACAAAGUGAUUUCUUGAGAAGUCGACAUUUCUUUGAAGAAAGAAUCAUCUCAUUUUAAGAGCUCUCUUUGCUACGUCUCGACACGCUGCCUGUUCUGACUCGCCUAAGCCGUGACUCCUUAUCACGCGCGCACCCCUACCCGAUGCUGUCAGGGGAAAAGGAAGUGGGACCGCUGCAAGCCCUUCGUGAUGACAACAGUGCUAGAGGGAGUAGAAGACUCUCGAGGCGGAUAGCGACGGAACAAUGUCCAAUGAGAAGUGAACAACUUUCGACGUGAAAUAAUAUCAGCGCAAGUUAGGCUGAAUCAGAAUUCAUUCGGAUCGGCUAUCAAGCCAAAGUAAACGAUCGAUAAUUAAGUAAAUAAUACAAUCAAAAUAUUUUGUGUUUCGAACAACGCUCGUUUUCGUAAUAAUUCAAUCUUCGAUUACGAUUUCUGCAGUAUGUUUUUAUUACUGUGAUAUUACAUUCAGUUAAUAAAGAAAUCUUGAUUUCGUUUUGGUCAGUUGUACGUUCUCUGUAAUCACUAAGCGAAAAGACAAUAAAU